AGCACCAGCACCUGCACACAAAAAGAAAGCACCAAAAGCAUCACCUGUUCCUUCACCACUAAGUAACACGCCAGCACCUGCACCAAUUGAAACACCAACACCAGCACCAGCACCUGAAGAUGACACGCCAGAGCCACCACCCCACAGGCACAGGAGAAGAAGACACAAGCACAAGCACAAGAGACACCACGCAGUAUCUCUGGCUCCAGCUCCAACGAUUAUUCGGAGGAGUCCCCCAGCACCACUUGCUGACGAUAUUACUACAACAGAGUCAGAAGAAACACCGGCACCAGCACCAAGUCCCAAUGCGAAUGGUGCACAAUCAUACUAUAGGCAAGGAAAUAUAUGGCCAAGUAUUGGACUCGCUAUAGUCAUUUUGUUAUCUGUCAUCACUUGAAACUCGCAACAGCUGCUAUAGAAGUCUUAUAUGACGACCAUGAAUUCAUUUUAAGCGGUGGUUUGGAUUGCAAAGCAUAUAUAUAAAGUUAUAUAUUUAAAUGUAUGAAACUGAAUAACGAUUAGUUAUA